GGACAAAACAAGGAGACUCCCUCUUGCUGGUUAUUUCUUGGCCCAGCCAUGCCGAUGACCGAUACUGUCUUCCCAAAGGCCAUGGAGGCUGUUUUCCACGGGCAAAGGUGAGGAAACAGAGGCUCAGGGGGGCCUGGUUUUGCCAGGGCCAUCGCAGGGCUUCCAGACUCUGCUGCCGGCCCGGAGACCACAGGUCCUCUCGCAGCAUCUGGAAUUCAAAGGCAGCGGAUGACCUCCAUGACGGCACAGGGUCACAGGGGUGGUGAAAAUGUCCUGGAAAUAGAGUGGUGGAUGCACGACAUUGUG